rnacentral:rRNA from 1 species
CCUACGGGUGGCAGCAGUGAGGAAUAUUGGUCAAUGGGCGGGAGCCUGAACCAGCAAAGUCGCGUGAGGGAAGACGGUCCUAUGGAUUGUAAACCUCUUUAGGCGGGGAGCAAUGCCAGGCACGUGUGCCCGGAGGGAGAGUACCCGCAGAAUAAGCAUCGGCUAACUCCGUGCCAGCAGCCGCGGUAAUACGGAGGAUGCGAGCGUUAUCGGGAUUUAUUGGGGUAAAGGGGUGCGGAGGCGGAUUUUUAAGUCAGCGGUAAACUGUUCGGGCUCAACCCGGGCCGGCCGUUGAAACUGGGGUUCUUGAGUAGGCGAGAGGUAUGCGGAAUUCGUGGUGUAGCGGUGAAAUGCAUAGAUAUCACGCAGAACUCCGAUUGCGAAGGCAGCAUACCGGCGCCCGACUGACGCUGAGGCACGAAAGCGUGGGGAUCGAACAGGAUUAGAUACCCGGGUAGUC